ACCUCACUAUAAUAGUCACGUGACAUGGAACAAUCUACCCAUGGAUCUGGGACAAUCUAUUACUUACAGUGCUCCCAAAACGUACCUAUUUAUAUUAUUAUUCUUGGUUUGAGGUUAGAAGUUAAGAGUGAUGUUGAUGUCCGGCACAUUUUUUGUAGCAUAUUAAUGUUUCAAGCGUUAUUUGAUUUUAUUGUUCUCCGUGACUAGUUUUUAUAAGUUAAUCAAAAUGAAAGACUUUAAUUGUGAUGAAUUUAUGGCUGAUGCUGAUUUACAGCGAUUUGUAGAAAAAAAUAAUGAAGCACUGAUGGAGCUGCAAUCAAAGAGGGCUGUGAUUAAGGAGAUGAAAAUCGAAAGUCAAACGCUAGUAAACAAGAAUAUGGAAUUACAUCAGGAACUUGAGAAAAUGGGUCAUGAGAAGCAAUUUCUUGAGCAGCAAUUGGAUGAAAUGAAAUCGAUAUCAAGACAACGUGAAGACGAAUGGUCCACGUUCAGAGAUAGCUGGGCACAAAAUAGUAUGAAACUGGAAAUAGCUAUCAAAACAUCGGAUGCUUACAAAUGUCAAGCUUCAGCUCAACAAGCCGAAAUUGAUAGAUUAACUGCAGAAAAUGAAGAAUUGAAGAAAUUAGUGAAAAGAAAUAAUACCAAGAAAGAUACUAAUCAGAUUGUCAAAUCUAGAAUUGAAGAAACUAUCACCAAACUACGAGAUCGAAUAUGUAUGCUAGAAAAGGUGCAGGAAGAGGUUAGUUGCACUUCAAAAACUGCAAUAGAAAUUGCUGAAAAGACAGACGAAUUUAGAAAGCAUUAUAAAAUGCUAUUAGAAAAGUCAAAUGAAGAAAAAGAACGAGCUAAUAAAGAAGUUAGCCAAUUAUCAAUGGAACUUGCAAAGCUGACACUGCCAGUUAAUAGUGAAUAUAUGAUCAUCGAUUCAGUCGACGAGAAUGCUCUGUUAUCAUUCAGUACUGAAAAGUUUAAAUCUCAACUAACUGAGAAGUUUGACGCGCGCUUUGAUACCAUUGAUAAUGAAAUAAGUGUGUAUGAAAAUAUAAAAGCUCUUCGAGAUUCUGAAAAAGAUGCUCAAGAAAAAAUCAAGAGGCUUGAACUGAUAUCUAAGCAAACUGAGGAGAAAUUGAAAUGUAUUGAAAGUGAAAGAAAAAAGGAGUUAGUGGACAAGGAGUGCCAGAUUGAUUACGAUUUCAAAGAGGAGACGCCAGUUGAGAUGGUCGACUCAGAUGCGGCGGACGCGGAUAUCAAAUCUGAAGAUAAUUAAGCCAUGGUCAAGAAAAAUGAAGAAAACAAAUUGAAGAAUUCUCUUCUCUCAGUUUCAACUCGAAAAACACUAAUUAUACUAUGUAUCAAAUUGGAAAGGUUUAGUGAAGUAUUUGAGAACAAAUUCUUCCAACUAUUCAAUCCUAGAUUCUAAGGCCAAGAACAAUAUUACUGUUAAGAGUGUUGUUCUCUCAUACAGGUAUCAAAAUUAUUCCUAUUAAUUUUAGAACAAGUCCAAGACAAUGGUCUAAUCACAAUUAUUCAGUCUUUUUGUACCAUUCAUUUGUGAAGCAAUGAAUUUGCGUGGGAUGUGGAUGACGCUUUACAGAAGACUCCACUGCUUGCCAAACAUGUUUAAAAAUAGCAACUGAGUGGACGUUCCUUUCUAUUACCGUUGCUCUACUUCUUUGUGCAAUAGAUAUUAAGUCCUUCUGCUUCGAUUCUCCAACAUUGAUAAUCAUCCUAAAAAU
rnacentral:misc_RNA from 1 species